rnacentral:rRNA from 1 species
AUACGGAGGGUGCAAGCGUUACUCGGAAUCACUGGGCGUAAAGGACGCGUAGGCGGCUUCACAAGUCAGGUGUGAAAGCCCACGGCUCAACCGUGGAACUGCACUUGAAACUGUGAUGCUAGAGUCUGGGAGAGGCAGAUGGAAUUGGUGGUGUAGGGGUAAAAUCCGUAGAGAUCACCAGGAAUACCGAUGGCGAAGGCGAUCUGCUGGAAUAGUACUGACGCUGAGGCGUGAAAGCGUGGGGAGCAAACAGGAUUAGAAACCCUAGUAGUCC